rnacentral:tRNA from 1 species
GGUGGCGUAGCCAAGUGGUAAGGCCGGAGUCUGCAAAACUCCUAUUCGUCGGUUCGAUUCCGACCGCCACCUCCA